UACGUAGGGUCCGAGCGUUGUCCGGAAUUAUUGGGCGUAAAGAGCUCGUAGGCGGUCUGUCGCGUCUGCUGUGAAAACUCGGGGCUUAACCCCGGCCUGCAGUGGGUACGGGCAGACUAGAGUGCGGUAGGGGAGACUGGAAUUCCAGGUGUAGCGGUGAAAUGCGUAGAUAUCUGGAGGAACACCGGUGGCGAAAGGCGGCAUCCUGGACCGGCAUUGACGCUGAGGCGCGAAAGUGUGGAGAGCGAACAGG
rnacentral:rRNA from 1 species